AGAAGUUUACUUCACAAGAAUUUGUCCAAAUUUCAAGAUUUGUGGCAAACCAAGAUAAACAGUUAGACUACAAAUCAACAGCUUUUGUUUUAGUUUGUU